ensembl:snRNA U4 U4 spliceosomal RNA
AGCUUUGCACAGUGGCAGUAUCAUAGCCAGUGAGGUUUAUCCAAGGCGCGAUUAUUGCUAAUUGAAAACUUUUCCCAAUACCCCGCCAUGAUGACUUGAAAUAUAGUCGGCAUUGGCAAUUUUUGGCAGUCCCUAUGGGGA